CGUGCUUAACACAUGCAAGUCGAACGGGAUCCAUCAGGCUUUGCUUGGUGGUGAGAGUGGCGAACGGGUGAGUAAUGCGUGACCGACCUGCCCCAUACACCGGAAUAGCUCCUGGAAACGGGUGGUAAUGCCGGAUGCUCCAGUUGACCGCAUGGUCCUCUGGGAAAGCUUUUGCGGUAUGGGAUGGGGUCGCGUCCUAUCAGCUUGAUGGCGGGGUAACGGCCCACCAAGGCUUCGACGGGUAGCCGGCCUGAGAGGGCGACCGGCCACAUUGGGACUGAGAUACGGCCCAGACUCCUACGGGAGGCAGCAGUGGGGAAUAUUGCACAAUGGGCGCAAGCCUGAUGCAGCGACGCCGCGUGCGGGAUGACGGCCUUCGGGUUGUAAACCGCUUUUGACUGGGAGCAAGCCCUUCGGGGUGAGUGUACCUUUCGAAUAAGCACCGGCUAACUACGUGCCAGCAGCCGCGGUAAUACGUAGGGUGCAAGCGUUAUCCGGAAUUAUUGGGCGUAAAGGGCUCGUAGGCGGUUCGUCGCGUCCGGUGUGAAAGUCCAUCGCUUAACGGUGGAUCCGCGCCGGGUACGGGCGGGCUUGAGUGCGGUAGGGGAGACUGGAAUUCCCGGUGUAACGGUGGAAUGUGUAGAUAUCGGGAAGAACACCAAUGGCGAAGGCAGGUCUCUGGGCCGUCACUGACGCUGAGGAGCGAAAGCGUGGGGAGCGAACAGGAUUAGAUACCCUGGUAGUCCACGCCGUAAACGGUGGAUGCUGGAUGUGGGGACCAUUCCACGGUCUCCGUGUCGGAGCCAACGCGUUAAGCAUCCCGCCUGGGGAGUACGGCCGCAAGGCUAAAAC
rnacentral:rRNA from 1 species